rnacentral:rRNA from 1 species
GUAAUUCCAGCUCCAAUAGCGUAUAUUAAAGUUGUUGCCGUUAAAAAGCUCGUAGUUGAACCUUGGACCUGGCCGAUCUAUCCUCCUAAUCGAGCGCACGGAUUCGGUCGGGUCUUUCCUUCUGGGGAGCCCUAUGCCCUUCACUGGGUGUAGUGGGGAACCAGGACUUUUACCUUGAAAAAAUUAGAGUGUUCAAAGCAGGCCUUUGCUCGAAUACAUUAGCAUGGAAUAAUAGAAUAGGACAUCGGUUCUAUUUUGUUGGUUUCUAGGACCGCUGUAAUGAUUAAUAGGGAUAGUCGGGGGCGUCUGUAUUCAAUUGUCAGAGGUGAAAUUCUUGGAUUUAUUGAAGACAAACUACUGCGAAAGCAUUCGCCAAGGAUGUUUUCAUUAAUCAGUGAACGAAAGUUAGGGGAUCGAAGACGAUCAGAUACCGUCGUAGUCUUAACCAUAAACUAUGCCGACUAGGGAUCGGACGGUGGUUUUUUUAUGCCCCGUUCGGCACCUUACGAGAAAUCAAAGUUUUUGGGCUCGGGGGGGAGUAUGGU